AGCAGCCGCGGUAAUUCCAGCUCUAAUAGCGUAUAUUAAUAUUGUUGCAGUUAAAAAGCUCGUAGUUGAAAUUUGGGACUUUAUUGUAUUGGUUUAUCUUUUGAUGAACUGUAUGAUGGGUUUCUUCCUACUAGAAUUCGAUUCUGUUCUUAAUUGAAUGGAGUAGCUAUCUCUCGGGGUGGUCAGUUGGUUGUUAUGCCUCUACUAAUGAGCGGAGAGGGGUAAAACCUUCAAAGUAAGUUACGUGGGUCAAGGUAUAGUGGUUAAUUGGAGUUCUAGUUCAUUUUACUUUGAGAAAAUUAGAGUGUUUAAAGCAGCCUCUUGGGGCACUGAAUACAUUAGCAUGGGAUAAUAAAAUAGGAUCUUCACAAUAUAUUUUAUUGGUUUAAAUUGCAUAUGAAGAUAAUGAUUAAUAGGGACAGUUGGGGGUAUUCAUAUUGGGUGGUUAGCGGUGAAAUGCUCGGAUCCAUUCAAGAUGAACUAAAGCGAAAGCAUUUACCAAGGAUGUUUUCAUUAAUCAAGAACGAAAGUUAAGGGAUCGAAGACG
rnacentral:rRNA from 1 species